rnacentral:rRNA from 1 species
UACGUAGGUCCCGAGCGUUGUCCGGAUUUAUUGGGCGUAAAGCGAGCGCAGGUGGUUUAUUAAGUCUGGUGUAAAAGGCAGUGGCUCAACCAUUGUAUGCAUUGGAAACUGGUAGACUUGAGUGCAGAAGAGGGAAGUGGAAUUCCAUGUGUAGCGGUGAAAUGCGUAGAGAUAUGGAGGAACACCAGUGGCGAAGGCGGCUUCCUGGUCUGCAACUGACACUGAGGCGCGAAAGCGUGGGGAGCAAACAGG